UACAGAGGUGGCAAGCGUUGUUCGGAAUUACUGGGCGUAAAGGGCGCGUAGGCGGUCUUUUAAGUCUUGUGUGAAAUCCCUCGGCUUAACUGAGGAACUGCACGGGAUACUGGAUGACUUGAGUUCGGGAGAGGGAAGCGGAAUUCCCGGUGUAGCGGUGAAAUGCGCAGAUAUCGGGAGGAACACCUAUGGCGAAGGCAGCUCGCUGGGACGUUACUGACGCUGAGACGCGAAAGCGUGGGGAGCAAACAGG
rnacentral:rRNA from 1 species